rnacentral:rRNA from 1 species
CCUACGGGGGGCAGCAGUGGGGAAUAUUGCACAAUGGGCGCAAGCCUGAUGCAGCCAUACCGCGUGUGUGAAGAAGGCCUUCGGGUUGUAAAGCACUUUCAGCGGGGAGGAAGGCGUUAAGGUUAAUAACCUUGUCGAUUGACGUUACCCGCAGAAGAAGCACCGGCUAACUCCGUGCCAGCAGCCGCGGUAAUACGGAGGGUGCAAGCGUUAAUCGGAAUUACUGGGCGUAAAGCGCACGCAGGCGGUCUGUCAAGUCGGAUGUGAAAUCCCCGGGCUCAACCUGGGAACUGCAUUCGAAACUGGCAGGCUAGAGUCUUGUAGAGGGGGGUAGAAUUCCAGGUGUAGCGGUGAAAUGCGUAGAGAUCUGGAGGAAUACCGGUGGCGAAGGCGGCCCCCUGGACAAAGACUGACGCUCAGGUGCGAAAGCGUGGGGAGCAAACAGGAUUAGAUACCCGAUAGUC